UUGCUGCUCCGACUAAGGGUUGCUUGGCGGUGAAGGUCGGCAAAGAUGACGAGGAACAGCAGAAGUUCAUGGUUCCCGUGACGUAUUUGAAUCAUCCUCUGUUCCUAGGCUUGCUAAAGGCGGCAGAAGAAGAGUACGGAUUUGAUCACAAAGGAGCCAUCACAAUCCCUUGCCAUGUUGAGCACUUCCGCCUGAUCCAGAGUAUCAUCAACCGCAAGACGGGUGACUGCAGAGGCUCCUCCCGCCGUGGGCAUCACCACCAUCACCACCUAACGUGUUUUAG
rnacentral:misc_RNA from 1 species